rnacentral:rRNA from 1 species
AGUACGUGAAACUGCUUAGAGGUUAAGCCCGAUGAACCUGAAUAUCCAUUAUGGAAAGUUCAACCAUUAAUAUUAUAAUAUUUAUUUAUAAAUAUUAUAAAAAUAGUGUGCAAUUUUUCCAUAUAAGGACAUUGUAAUCUGUUAAUGUAAUAAAUAUUUAUCAUAAGAUUCAAUAAAUAAAAGUUUAUUCAAAUUAGUUAUUUUCCGAUUUCUAACAUAGAAUAAAUUUAAUUGAAUUUGAUAAAUCAUUGACAGAUUUAUUUAUAUAUAGUGCUUAAAUUCUUAAUUGAAUUUUACAAUAAUUUAUAAAUGUAUUUUCAUUUAUUUAUUUAUUGUAUGCACUUAUAUGAUUAACAAUGCUAUAGAUUCAGGAUACCUUCGGGACCCGUCUUGAAACACGGACCAAGGAGUCUAACAUAUGUGCAAGUCAUUGGGUAUUUUUAAUAAAACCCAAAGGCAUAAUUAACUUAACUGUUUUUAAUAUGGGAUUAAUUUAUAUUUUAUUAUGAAAUAUUAAUUCAAUCCCGGGGCGUUCUAUAUAGUUAUGUAUAAUGAAUAUUUAUAUUAUUUAUGCCUCUAACUAGAGCGUACCUUGAGCAUAUAUGCUGUGACCCGAAAGUG